rnacentral:rRNA from 1 species
AUUGAACGCUGGCGGCAUGCCUUACACAUGCAAGUCGAACGGCAGCACGGGGGCAACCCUGGUGGCGAGUGGCGAACGGGUGAGUAAUGCAUCGGAACGUGCCCAGUAGUGGGGGACAACCAGUCGAAAGAUUGGCUAAUACCGCAUACGACCUAUGGGUGAAAGCGGGGGACCGUAAGGCCUCGCGCUAUUGGAGCGGCCGAUGUCUGAUUAGCUAGUUGGUGAGGUAAAGGCUCACCAAGGCGACGAUCAGUAGCUGGUCUGAGAGGACGACCAGCCACGCUGGGACUGAGACACGGCCCAGACUCCUACGGGAGGCAGCAGUGGGGAAUUUUGGACAAUGGGCGCAAGCCUGAUCCCGCCAUGCCGCGUGCGGGAAGAAGGCCUUCGGGUUGUAAACCGCUUUUGGCAGGAACGAAACGGCGACUUCUAAUACGAGUCGUUAAUGACGGUACCUGCAGAAUAAGCACCGGCUAACUACGUGCCAGCAGCCGCCGUAAAAC